AGAGAGAGACAUGCGCGCAUAUCAAUAAGCGGAGGAAAAGAAACUAACAAGGAUUCCCUUAGUAACGGCGAGUGAAGCGGGAAGAGCUCAAAUUUGAAAUCUUCAAGGUUUUACCUUGACGAAUUGUAGUUUAAAGAAGUGUUUUCUGCUGAAGUUUUGGUAUAAGUUCUUUGGAAUAGGACAUCAUAGAGGGUGAGAAUCCCGUAUUUGACCAUUAUUUUCAGCUUUGUGAUACACUUUCAAAGAGUCGGAUUGUUUGGGAAUGCAGUCCAAAAUGGGUGGUAAAUUUCAUCUAAAGCUAAAUAUUGGCGAGAGACCGAUAGCGAACAAGUACCGUGAGGGAAAGAUGAAAAGAACUUUGAAAAGAGAGUUAAACAGUACGUGAAAUUGUCAAAAGGGAAGCGUUUGACACUAGUGUUGUUUUCUCGAAAAUCAAUUUAAAAAUGGCUCGAUUUUGUAUUGCUGAGACCUUAAAAGCUCACUGUACAUUUUUCGUGUCUUUUUUAAUGCACUUUUCGUUUAACAAGUCAACAUCAGUUUCUUUUGUUGUAAAAGGGUCAUUGGAAGGUGGCUUUCUUUUCGGAGAAAGUGUAUUAUAGCCUUUGGCCUCUGCAAUCGAAGAGACUGAGGUCUGCAGCGUAGACUCUUCGGGGUUAGAUACAUUUGUGCUAAGUUAUAGCUUUUUAUAGACAACUUGUUGACUAUAAUUAGUCUUGUAGCUUACUCGCUUAUGCUAUUUUACCUACGCUUAGGAUGUUGAAGAUGUAGCACAUCAU
rnacentral:rRNA from 1 species